UAAGAAUCCACAAAUAGUUAAUUCCACUACGCGAUUGAAUGAUUUUGACGUUUAUGGUUCAACGUAUUUUGUAAUUCAUAAUAGAAAUAUAUCAUAAUGACAUAAAAUAAAACAAUAUCAUACUGACGGGAGUCACGUUAUAAGAACCAAAGAAAUACAAAAAGUCGCAUAUACAAAACACGCCACAAAAAAAUGAAAGACA
rnacentral:lncRNA from 1 species